AACGAACGCUGGCGGUAUGCCUAACACAUGCAAGUCGAACGAGACCUCCGUGACUAGUUGCGCAUGCGUGCGUCACGUGUGGGAACCUGCCCUUAUGCUCGGAAUAACUCUCCUAAAGGGGUGCUAACACCGGAUAAUGUCUGCUAAUCAAAGAUUCAUCGACCUUGGGUGGGCCCGCGUUGUAUUAGCUUGUCGGUAGUGAAAAAGCCUACGACGGCGACGCUACAUAGCUGGUCUGAGAGGAUGAGCAGCCACACUGGGACUGAGACACGGCGCAGACUCCUACGGGAGGCAGCAGUGGGGAAUAUUGGACAAUGGGCGAAAGCAUGAUCCAGCAAUGCCGCGUGAGUGAUGAAGGCCUUAGGGUAGUAAAGCUCUUUUACCCGGGAUGAUAAUGACAGUACCGGGAGAAUAAGCACCGGCUAACUCCGUG
rnacentral:rRNA from 1 species